GACGAACGCUGGCGGCGUGCUUAACACAUGCAAGUCGAGCGGAAAGGCCCUUCGGGGUACUCGAGCGGCGAACGGGUGAGUAACACGUGAGUAACCUGCCCCAGACUUUGGGAUAACCCUCGGAAACGGGGGCUAAUACCGGAUACGACACAGCUUCGCAUGGGGUCUGUGUGGAAAGUUUUUCGGUUUGGGAUGGGCUCGCGGCCUAUCAGCUUGUUGGUGGGGUGAUGGCCUACCAAGGCGACGACGGGUAGCCGGCCUGAGAGGGCGACCGGCCACACUGGGACUGGGACACGGCCCAGACUCCUACGGGAGGCAGCAGUGGGGAAUAUUGCACAAUGGGCGGAAGCCUGAUGCAGCGACGCCGCGUGAGGGAUGACGGCCUUCGGGUUGUAAACCUCUUUCAGCAGGGACGAAGCGUAAGUGACGGUACCUGCAGAAGAAGCGCCGGCCAACUACGUG
rnacentral:rRNA from 1 species